rnacentral:rRNA from 1 species
AGCGGCGGACGGGUGAGUAAUGUCUGGGAAACUGCCUGAUGGAGGGGGAUAACCACUGGAAACGGUGGCUAAUACCGCAUAACGUCGCAAGACCAAAGUGGGGGACCUUCGGGCCUCAUGCCAUCAGAUGUGCCCAGAUGGGAUUAGCUUGUAGGUGGGGUAACGGCUCACCUAGGCGACGAUCCCUAGCUGGUCUGAGAGGAUGACCAGCCACACUGGAACUGAGACACGGUCCAGACUCCUACGGGAGGCAGCAGUGGGGAAUAUUGCACAAUGGGCGCAAGCCUGAUGCAGCCAUGCCGCGUGUAUGAAGAAGGCCUUCGGGUUGUAAAGUACUUUCAGUGAGGAGGAAGGCGUGAUGYUUAAUACGCAUCGCGAUUGACGUUACUCACRGAAGAAGCACCGGCUAACUCCGUGCCRGCAGCCGCGGUAAUACGGAGGGUGCAAGCGUUAAUCGGAAU